GAAAUGCGAUAAGUAGUGAGAAUUGCAGAAUUCAGUGAAUCAUCGAAUCUUUGAACGCACAUUGCGCCCCUUGGUAUUCCAUGGGGCAUGCCUGUUCGAGCGUCAUUUGUACCCUCAAGCUCUGCUUGGUGUUGGGUGUUUGUCCCCGUCUCCGCGCGUGGACUCGCCCCAAAGUGAUUGGCAGCCGGCGUACUGGUCCCGGAGCGCAGCACAUGUCGCGCAAACGAGUGCCUUGGUACGGCGGCGUCCAUAAGCCCCUCUCUCACGCUCUUGACCUCGGAUCAGGUAGGGAUACCCGCUGAACUUAAGC
rnacentral:misc_RNA from 1 species